CAGCUUUGAAGCAAUUUUUGUUCUUUUCGAGAAACUGAAUUUAAAGGCUGAAAUUUAGUUUCCCGAAAACUACACUGGCGAUUUUCAAAUAACUUUCAAAAAGAUUCAAAACUUCAUAACAAUGUAUUUUCUGCAAUAAAAAAGGUAGGUCACCGUGCUUAUUUGUCCGCUAAGACGGCUUUUUUGGUUGAUAUGGGCCAUAUAGAUGGUGACGUCUUGUUGUCAUGGUAACGUGAAGAGUAGCGAUUGUGGGUU